ensembl:rRNA 5S_rRNA 5S ribosomal RNA
GCUUACGGCCAUACAAACCUGGCCAUGCCCAAUCUCGUUUGAUCUCGGAAGCUCAGCAGGUUUGGGCCUGGUUAGUACUUGGAUGGGAGACCGCCUAGGAAUACCAGGUGCUGUAAGCU